GCCUUAUCAAGAGAAACUGAGGGACUGGCCCUAUGACGUUUCAGCAACCAUGCUUUAUAGUGAUGGUGCUAAAUCCAGCAGAUUUAAAUCUGAGAGAUGAGGA
rfam:Clostridium cellulovorans 743B, complete genome.